rnacentral:pre_miRNA from 1 species
UAGGGUGACCAACCAUCCCAGCUUGCAUGGGACUGAGGGGUUUCCCAGGACACAGAUCUUUCAGUGCUGAAGAUGGAAUUGUCCCAGGCAAACCAGGAUGGCUGGUCACCCUGACAGUGA